rnacentral:rRNA from 1 species
UACGUAGGUGGCAAGCGUUGUCCGGAUUUACUGGGCGUAAAGAGCGCGCAGGCGGUCGUUCAAGUCGAGUGUGAAAGCCCCCGGCUCAACUGGGGAGGGUCACUCGAUACUGAUCGACUCGAAGGCGGAAGAGGGAAGCGGAAUUCCCGGUGUAGUGGUGAAAUGCGUAGAUAUCGGGAGGAACACCAGUGGCGAAGGCGGCUUUCUGGUCUGCUCUUGACGCUGAGGCGCGAAAGCUAGGGGAGCAAACGGG